rnacentral:rRNA from 1 species
GUGCACCAGGCGCGAAACCUCCGCAAUACACGAAAGUGUGACGGGGCCAUCCCGAGUGCCGUCCGCUGAGGACGGCUUUUCCCCAGUGUACACAGCUGGGGGAAUAAGGAGAGGGCAAGCCUGGUGUCAGCCGCCGCGGUAAUACCAGCUCUCCGAGUGGUGGGGACGCUUAUUGGGCCUAAAGCAUCCGUAGCCGGCUGGGCAAGUCCUCCGUUAAAAUCCAACGAUUCAAUCGUUGGGCUGCGGGGGAUACUGUCCAGCUUGGGGGCGGGAGAGGCCGACGGUAUUCCCGGGGUAGGGGUGGAAACCCUAUAAUCCCGGGAGGACCACCAGUGGCGAAGGCUGUCGGCUAGAACGCGCCCGACGGUGAGGGAUGAAAGCUGGGGGAGCGAACCGGAUUAGAUACCCGUGUAGU